AUACAAAGAGAAGCGACCUCGCGAGAGCAAGCGGACCUCAUAAAGUGCGUCGUAGUCCGGAUUGGAGUCUGCAACUCGACUCCAUGAAGUCGGAAUCGCUAGUAAUCGUGGAUCAGAAUGCCACGGUGAAUACGUUCCCGGGCCUUGUACACACCGCCCGUCACACCAUGGGAGUGGGUUGCAAAAGAAGUAGGUAGCUUAACCUUCGGGAGGGCGCUUACCACUUUGUGAUUCAUGACUGGGGUGAAGUCGUAACAAGGUAACCGUAGGGGAACCUGC
rnacentral:rRNA from 2 species